UCUUCAAUUACCCCCACCACCCAUAUCAGCCCUUUUUCUGCUUCUCUUCCUCUUACACAAAACCCCUUUUUGAUUUCUCUUUCUCCUUUUUCGGUUGUUUAUUUAUUUAUUUUUUGCCAUUUUCGUCCCUUUCUUGAUGGUCGCCGUCGGCACUGUUUGAUUUGUUCAGAUAUAGCCCAGGUUUGUACGUGUCACCGACACCUGUACUGCUGCUUCUGCAGCAUAAGAGAGAGAAAAAGAGAGUGAGAGAGAGAAAAAAAAGGCAGAGAUGGGGGCGGCUAUCUUCUGAGCUUGAUCUCACUUGGCCUGUAACAAACCCUAAAUCCUCAUAAACUCUUUAUUCAACACCCCAUCCCUCGUCCGAAUGCGAUCUGUGUGUUUUCUCUCUUUUCAUUUUAAAGUCGCUCUCUUACCUGAAAUAGUAUAAAUCAUGGGUUUCUAGGGACUCCUGAUGUCUUUCCUUAAAUGGGUGUAAAUGCAUUUUCAGAUCUGACUCGUUUGCCUCUUCUUUUCACUGCUUUUUAUUCCGUUUUUGGGUUUUACUCUUGUUUUUCUUUCUUCUUCUUCUGGGGCACAUUGAAAACUGACAGAAGAGAGUGAGCACACAGAGGCAAUUGUAUAAGUUUAUGCUUUUGCUUUUGCGUGCUCAUUUCUCUUUCUGUCAGCUUCCAGUGCCGGAAUUAAUUACCUCCGGUGCUGUCUCCCCGUUCCCCGAUCAUCUUGUUUCAUCUCUUGUCUGUCUCAAUUCUUUUGGGCCUGUGGGUGGGUAGUGGGUGGUGGGUGUUGGGUGUUGAAGUCCAAGGCAGUAACACCUGAGAAGAUACUGGGGAGAAAUGGUGCACAAAAAAUAAAGCUCCGGUCUCUCUCUGCUACGUUUUGAUUAAGUAAAAAGAAAAUAAACUGUUUUAGGUUAUAUUUUAUAGGCUCAAUAGGUUGAAAGCGUGACUUUUGAUGUUGUUUCUUUGUGAAUGUAUUACAAAUUACUGUGCGGAUUUAACGGAAAACUGUAUUAGCAUGGGACCAGUCACGUUAACUAGUAUGGUCCUCCCUAGCUAAACACCUCUUCUUUUUUUUUUUUUCCCUUUCCUUCAGCUUCUUGCUAUUAUCAUCUUUCAUGUUCCUUUUUUAUUCUUGCGCAUGCGAUGUAGAUUCAGAGAUUUGUUCUGCUUGGAGUCUGGUUUUCACCUGAAUCUAGUCAAUAUCUUGUUGCUUGUGUUCUUACUGCAAAUGGAUUCUUUCUUUCUUCUAUAUGAGUUUGUUUUUGACUUAAUCCACUUGAUCUCGGUGCAGACAGUUUUAUUUUUGACCUGAAUCAAGACAAAGUAUGGUUUCUUGUACACUCACUGCUGCAAAUGGGUCUUGAAGUUAAUGGGAUUUGUUUUAUUUCCUUCUUUUAUAGAUAUAUAUAUUUGUUGCGAUGUGAUGUAAUGAGUGUAGAAUAAGUAGACCCUCUUGAUUAGGUGAUGGUUAUGAUGGUAACUGGAUAUAUAGAAAAAUGUCUACACUUCUAUUCUCUCUUGUUUGGGGAUUUUUUUUCUCUCCCUUUUUCUCUUUUGUCAGAUCAACUUGGCUUGUUGAUGGAAACAUCAACUGAUUUUUUCAUGUAUGAAGCCUUUUCCAAAGUUAAAAAACUUCAUUACUCUUCUUGACCAUGACCAUAUUGUUUCCAUUAAGCAGAUAUUGGUGCAGCUAAGGUUCCAUUUUGUAAUUUGAAUGUGUUACUUUGUGUUUAUUUUAUUGGUUCACUUGGUUUGAUAUGGUCCUACAGCAGCUGUCGGUGGUGAUUUUAGCAGUGUCAAGUGGAAAAUCUUUGGCUUAUCUGCUAUGAUUUCGGGUUCAAUCAUGCCAUUAAAUGGUGUAGAGAAAAAUUCCUAUGGGACACUAUUAUACAUCAUUAUUGGACAAGAAGAUAAUCGGAGCAAGCAUGAAGUUCCUAUUUACAUUUCUCAAAUGUCGUCAGGCACAUGGCCAUGGUCUUGGAGCAGAUGCCUACUCACUGGGCCAGAGAAGAUUUUCAAGGAAUAAAAGGCCAAAAAUUGUGGGUACAAAGCUAUCAUUGAUAGAGCAGCUUCACAAGGACUGAAGGGCCAACAGUUUCUGGCAUGCUUCACCAAAUCCUGACAAGUGGGGGAAGACGAGAAAAACAUUGCAUGUGAGGAAUGGUUUUCUUCUACCAACUUGGGCAUGCAUUAUACAUAAAUGUGUACCAGAGACUGUACAUCUGGGUGUGGCUUUUCUCAGCAAAUUUUCCCAUGAUUUUCUCCAGCAAGAAAAUUUUCCUGCGAGUUUGUGUGAAAAAGAAGGUAGUGUAAAUGUAGCGUUUUGCAAUUUGCAUUGGUUGGUGAGGCGGGAAAUGUUUACUGUGGAGUAAGUAAUUGUCAGUACUAUUUUUACCAUUUGUGUUGUACCAAAAAAGUAGAGACUUUAAUAAAUACUUUUUCUUU